CCUACGGGUGGCAGCAGUGAGGAAUAUUGGUCAAUGGGCGCGAGCCUGAACCAGCCAAGUAGCGUGAAGGAUGACUGCCCUACGGGUUGUAAACUUCUUUUAUAAAGGAAUAAAGUGAGCCACGUGUGCCUUUUUGUAUGUACUUUAUGAAUAAGCAUCGGCUAACUCCGUGCCAGCAGCCGCGGUAAUACGGAGGAUCCGAGCGUUAUCCGGAUUUAUUGGGUUUAAAGGGAGCGUAGGUGGGUUUUUAAGUCAGUUGUGAAAGUUUGCGGCUCAACCGUAAAAUUGCAAUUGAUACUGGAAGUGUUGAGUACAGUUGAGGUAGGCGGAAUGCGUGGUGUAGCGGUGAAAUGCUUAGAUAUCACGAAGAACUCCGAUUGCGAAGGCAGCUUACUAAGCUGCAACUGACAUUGAUGCUCGAAAGUGUGGGGAUCAAACAGGAUUAGAUACCCCUGUAGUC
rnacentral:rRNA from 1 species